rnacentral:rRNA from 1 species
UACGGGGGGGGCAAGCGUUGUUCGGAAUUACUGGGCGUAAAGGGCUCGUAGGCGGCCAACUAAGUCAGACGUGAAAUCCCUCGGCUUAACCGGGGAACUGCGUCUGAUACUGGAUGGCUUGAGUUUGGGAGAGGGAUGCGGAAUUCCAGGGUGUAGCGGUGAAAUGCGUAGAUAAUCUGGAGGAACACCGGGUGGCGAAGGCGGCGAUCCUGGACCAACACUGGACGCUGAGUGAGCGAAAGCCAGGGGAGCAAAACCGGGG